CUUUAUUUUAUUUUCUGUCUAAAGUCAGGAUUGGAUCUGGAGGCAAAGCUGGUUUAAACUUGUUAAUGGAAGCUGAGCACCUCUUGUUUUUCAAUUGAAGAAUGUGUGCCAAGGUAAGGAAUUAGGCAGAACCUGACUCAAAGUCUGCAACAUUUGUUCCCCACCAGCAUAUUCAAUUUGCUAUGCGUAGCCCCCAUUCAUGACUUUAUGAAGUAAAUAUAAGUAGAAGGCAAUUAAAUUAGAGAUUUUUAGCCUCACAAUGGCUUCAGUUUAUUGUUCCAUGUGACAUUCUGCUCCCUGAGAUAAUCCAAGAUCUAUUAUACACUCAUUUAAAUUUUACUUACUUUGGACUACCCUUUUUUGUUUAACCUAAAUUCUUAACUACUAAAAUCUAUGUUUUAUCUUUGUUUUGGAAACCUAAACACUUAGCUCAGGGGUUAGAUGUGUGUGUUUGGACUCAAAUUAAGUUCUGAGGAAUCCUCUUGGCUUGAUAAAACCCACAUUCCUGUAGCAGUUGGCAAGACUUUUCCUGCUUCUCACUGUUCAUGCCACUAUUGAGAAUGUGAGAUGAUAUGGCUUCCACAUUCUUCCAGCUAAGUAUCCCCUGCUGUUCUGCUGGAGCAUGAAUGACUAGACCUGGCUAGACUAUAUUUUAGCUCAUAGCCGAAGCUCAUGGACCUUGGUAAAACAGCACAUAGAGAUCUAAUGCUGCCUAUUUGUGGUUCUACCACCACACUCACCUCAUUGCCUAAAUCUUAAAAAGUAUUUGCUUAGGGUGCCAAAGCAAGGAAGACAGAUUGUACCAACUGCAUACUUCUGUUUCUACUAUUUGGAAAGAUACGUUCUCUGCAUCCCAAUUGUAGCACUACCAAGUCCCUGGACAUUUCUUCCCUAGGAGGACAGAGUCAGACACUGGGUUCACAAAUCCAAAAGGAGUCUCAGUGGGCUAAAAUGGAAGUUUCAGGAGGGCUGUUUUCCAUUCGGAGUCUGUGGGAGAGAAUGCGUUUUUUUGUGGCCUACAUUUCUCAGUUUGUGGCCCCUCCCUCCAUCCUCAAAGCAAAGAAAGGUAAGUCAAGUCUUUCUCACACUGCAUAACAUUGACACUAACUCUUCUGCCUCCCUUGUCCACAUUUAAGUUCCUUGUAAUUACACUGGGCCCACUUGAAUAAUCCAGGACAAUCCCCUUACUUAAAGUCAGUUGAUUGGCAUCCUUAAUCCCAACUUCAAUCUUAAUUCACCCUCACCAUGGCUUGUAACAAUUCACAGGUUUGGGGGAUUAGAGGUAGAUCUCUUUGAGGGUCAAUGAUUCUCCCUGCUAAAAAUAGGAAUGAUUAGCCUCAUUAACAUAUGAGAAAGGUUAGGCUUAAAGAAGCUGAAUCAUUUGCCUAAGUGUACAUAGCUAAUAAACUGAAAUAUUGGGAGUGCUUCCA
rnacentral:lncRNA from 13 species